CAAGAGCGUAUGUAAAAGUUGUUGCAGUUAAAAAGCUCGUAGUUGAACCUUGGGUUUGGUUGGCCGGUCCGCUUUUUUGCGAGUACUGGAUUCAACCGAGCCUUUCCUUCUGGCUAACCAGUCGUUUCGGUGGCUGGCGAACCAGGAUUUUUACUUUGAGAAAAUUAGAGUGUUCAAAGCAGGCAUUAGCUUGAAUAUAUUAGCAUGGAAUAAUAGAAUAGGACGUUAUGGUUCUAUUUUGUUGGUUUCUAGGACCAUCGUAAUGAUUAAUAGGGACGGUCGGGGCAUCAGUAUUCAGUUGUCAGAGGUGAAAUUCUUGGAUUUACUGAAGACUAACUACUGCGAAAGCAUUUGCCAAGGACGUUUUCAUUAA
rnacentral:rRNA from 1 species